GAUGAAGAACGUAGCGAAAUGCGAUAAGUAAUGUGAAUUGCAGAAUUCAGUGAAUCAUCGAAUCUUUGAACGCACAUUGCGCCCGCCAGUAUUCUGGCGGGCAUGCCUGUCUGAGCGUCAUUUCAACCCUCAUGCCCCUAGGGCGUGGUGUUGGGGAUCGGCCAAAGCCCGCGAGGGACGGCCGGCCCCUAAAUCUAGUGGCGGACCCGUCGUGGCCUCCUCUGCGAAGUAGUGAUAUUCCGCAUCGGAGAGCGAUGAGCCCCUGCCGUUAAACCCCCAACUUUCCAAGGUUGACCUCAGAGCAGGUAGGAAUACCCGCUGAACUUAAGCAUAUCAAUAGGCGGAGGA
rnacentral:misc_RNA from 1 species